GUUGUUAUUUCAAAAGUAUUGAUGGAAACUUCAUCUAGGUUGAACGGUUUGACAUGACUUUUGACGCCAUGGGUAUCGAUUUAUCGGUUGAUGAGGUACUCUCUGAGGUUCAGUCUAGUGUUGUCAACCCUCUUUUCUUGAAGAAUAGAUCUCUUGAAAAGACAGAGGUUUCAUCUCCACUUUCAGGAACUCAGUCUAUCUGCACGGAUCAAACUACAAGCAAUAUCACUAAGUGAAAACAUGAAAAAAGAGAAAAUCGUGUAGUUAGGGAACAGAAGACGAGGAAGUUGGUACAAAAUCUUCACCUGUAAUUCUGAUGGUGACAGUUGCAGCUGGUUUUUCUUUGCCAUCAAAUGAUGAAGUUAUCCAAAUAUAUAACAAGUUUGGGGAUCUGAAUGAGAAGGAAACAGAAGUGUUACACGAUUCAAACAGAAGUGUUAGACUGUCACUUUCAAUAGCAUCUCCUUGCGCUUUGGGCAUACAUGCCUCAAGUGUUUAUAUUC
rnacentral:lncRNA from 1 species